rnacentral:rRNA from 1 species
GGAAGGUGCACUUGGCUAAACA